rnacentral:ncRNA from 3 species
UGUCGCCUUACCCGGCGCGUUCGUAUAUCCCCGAUAAUAAGGUUCGGGGGUCUCUACAAGGAACCUCAAAUUCCUGGCUACGAACGGGAUGCUUUCGCAU